CCAAUCGAACCCGGAGAUAGCUGGUUCUCCUCGAAAUAGCUUUAGGGCUAGCCUCAUGGAUCAUUGGUGGGGGUAGAGCACUGAAUGUGCGCGGGGGCCACAAAGCCUACCAAACGCUAUCAAACUACGAAUACCAUACAAUGCAGACCAUGGGAGUCAGUCCGCGAGAGAUAAGUUCCGCGGGCAAAAGGGGAACACCCCAGAUCAACCGCUAAGGUCCCCAAGUUCACGUUAAGUGGAGAAGGAUGUGGAAUUGCACAGACAACCAGGAUGUUGGCUCAGAAGCAGCCACACAUUUAAAGAGUGCGUAAUAGCUCACUGGUCGAGUGAUUGUGCGCCGAAGAUGUCCGGGGCUAAACGUGACACCGAAGCGAUGGGUGCGUCUGAAGAAGAUGCGCGGUAGAGGAGCAAUGUGCAGAGGCAGAAGCCGUAUCGAGAGGCACGGUGGACACUGCACAAGAGAGAAUGCCGGUAUGAGUAGCGAGAGGCAUGCGAGAAACAUGCCCGUCGAAAGCCCAAGGUUUCCUGGGGAAGGUUCAUCCGCCCAGGGUAAGUCGGGGCCUAAGCCGAGGACGGAAGUCGUAGGCGAUGGACAGCAGGUGUAGAUUCCUGCACUACCGAUGGAAUGAAGCAGUGACACAGAAGGAUAACUCGAGCAGGGUGAUGGUCAACCCUGUGCAAGCAUCAAGGUUGGGUUGUAGUGAAGUACGCAAUCCUAUAAGCUGAGGUGUGAUGCGGACCGAAAUUUUAGUAGGGAAGCGAGUGAGUUCACGCUGGCGAGAAAAGCUGCUAGUAUAUCCAAAGGUACCCGUACCGGAAACCGACGCAGGUGGGCGAGGAGAGAAUCCUGAGACGAACGGGAGAACCCUUGUUAAGGAACUCGGCAAAAUGACCCCGUAACUUCGGGAUAAGGGGUGCCUGCGAGAGCAGGCCGCAGAGAAUAGUCACAAGCGACUGUUUAGCAAAAACACAGGUAUCUGCGAAAGCGAGAGCUGACGUAUAGGUGCUGACACCUGCCCGGUGCUGGAAGGUUAAGGGAACAUGUUAGAGCAAUCGAAGCAUCGAACCGAAGCCCCAGUAAACGGCGGCCGUAACUAUAACGGUCCUAAGGUAGCGAAAUUCCUUGUCGGGUAAGUUCCGACCCGCACGAAUGGUGUAACGACUUGUGAGCUGUCUCAACAGGGGGCCCGGUGAAAUUGAAGUAUGGGUGAAGAUGCCCAUUACCCGCGACUGGACGGAAAGACCCCGUAGAGCUUUACUGCAGCCUGAUAUUGAGUUUCGGUAACUGAUGCACAGGAUAGGUGGGAGUCUGAGAGACAUGGGUUUCGGCUCGUGUGGAGACGCUGUUGGGAUACCACUCUUCGGUUACUGAAAUUCUAACAUAGCUCUGUGAAACCAGAGGAUGGACAGUGUCAGGUGGACAGUUUGACUGGGGCGGUCGCCUCCGAAAGAGUAACGGAGGCGCCCAAAGGUACCCUCAGAAUGGAUGGAAACCAUUCGAAGAGCGCAAAGGCAGAAGGGUGCCUGACUGCGAGAUUGACAAAUCGAGCAGAGACGAAAGUCGGGCUUAGUGAUCCGGCGGUAUUGAGUGGAAAAGCCGUCGCUUAACGGAUAAAAGCUACCUCGGGGAUAACAGGCUGAUCUCCCCCAAGAGUCCACAUCGACGGGGAGGUUUGGCACCUCGAUGUCGGCUCGUCGCAUCCUGGGGCUGAAGCAGGUCCCAAGGGUUUGGCUGUUCGCCAAUUAAAGCGGCACGCGAGCUGGGUUCAGAACGUCGUGAGACAGUUCGGUCCCUAUCCAUCGUGGGCGUAGGAGUCAUGAGAGGAGCUGUUCCUAGUACGAGAGGACCGGAAUGGACGCACCACUGGUGCAACUGUUGUCGUGCCAACGGCAUAGCAGGGAAGCGAAGUGCGGAUGGGAUAAACGCUGAAGGCAUCUAAGCGUGAAGCCCACCUCAAGAAUAAGACUCCACAAUAGACCCCUGGAGGACUACCAGGUAGAUAGGUCAUCGGUGGAAGCGCUGUAAGGCGUGCAGCUUGAUGAUACUAAUCGGUCGAAAGCUUCAUUU
rnacentral:rRNA from 1 species